rnacentral:rRNA from 1 species
GGGUUGGAUCCUGCCGGAGGUCACUGCUAUCGGGGUUCGACUAAGCCAUGCGAGUCGAGAGGUGCAAGACCUCGGCGUACUGCUCAGUAACACGUGGAUAAUCUACCCUGAGGAGAGGGAUAACCCCGGGAAACUGGGGAUAAUACCUCAUAGGUUACGGAGGCUGGAAUGCCCUGUAACCCAAAGCUCCGGCGCCUCAGGAUGAGUCUGCGGCCGAUUAGGUUGUUGUUGGGGUAACGGCCCAACAAGCCGAUAAUCGGUACGGGUUGUGGGAGCAAGAGCCCGGAGAUGGAUUCUGAGACAUGAAUCCAGGCCCUACGGGGCGCAGCAGGCGCGAAAACUUUACAAUGCGAGCAAUCGUGAUAAGGGAACCCCGAGUGCCUGUACACGCAGGCUGUUCAGAUGUCUAAAACGCAUCUGGAGAAAGGGCCGGGCAAGACCGGUGCCAGCCGCCGCGGUAAUACCGGCGGCUCGAGUGGUGGCCACUAUUACUGGGCUUAAAGCGUCCGUAGCUGGGUUGUUAAGUCUCCUGAGAAAUCUGCCGGCUUAACCGUCAGGCGUUCAGGUGAUACUGGCAAUCUCGGGACUGGGGGAGGUGAGAGGUACUCCGGGGGUAGGAGUGAAAUCCUGUAAUCCUCGGGGGACCACCUGUGGCGAAGGCGUCUCACCAGAACAGCUCCGACAGUGAGGGACGAAAGCUGGGGGAACAAACCGGAUUAGAUACCCGGGUAGUCCCAGCUGUAAACGAUGCGCGUUAGGUGUGUCGGUAACCACGAGUUACCGAGGUGCCGUAGGGAAACUGCUAAACGCGCCGCCUGGGAAGUACGGUCGCAAGGCUGAAACUUAAAGGAAUUGGCGGGGGAGCACCACAACGGGUGGAGCCUGCGGUUUAAUUGGAGUCAACGCCGGGA